CCGAAAGAUCAUUUCAAAUUUUCUUUUCAUUUAACCAAGAUGAGGAUUGUUGGUGUGUAGAAGGGAUUAAUUUUCGAAAUUAUAUUUCAAUAACAAGUAAUAUAGAUCAUGCUCGGGCUUUUCUAUGGGACCAAAAUACCGAAGGAGAAAUCGAUACUCCUGAUCAAGGAAUUGAUUCUAUUUACAUAAGUAAAAAUGGUCUGGAUUUUAAACCAAUUAACAAAUCUAGUGACUCCGCAGAUGACUCACGCCAAACAAAAGAUAAUUCUGACAAAAAUGAGACGGAUAAAGAAAAGUUAAGCAGUAACGGCGUUUUAUUAAACAAUGACAUUCAGAUAUCAAUUCGCUCUGUGCGCGAGAGCAGCGCCCGGUAAUAUAUUGUAGUGAUUGGUAUCUUAAAUUAAUAUCACUUAUACACUACAAUGAUAACACACUUAAAUUAUAAAUAACAACACCACAAUUAACAGCAGUAAAGAAAGCAAGAGAGAGCAAUAUAGUUUAUUGAGAUACAAUGUUUGCUGUUAAACUGUCAAUAUAAGACUGACUGACUUUUGUCGCGUAUCUAUAAAACAAGAGAAGAAGGCAUUUGUUUUCUAGCUAUUCAAAUAUUUUAAAGAUCAGUUUCACAUUCGUUACAAUAUGAACUAAAGGAGGAUAUUGAAGUACAUUGAACAUACAAUUUGAUAGGAGUUUGCGUUAUAAAUUAUAAUUUUUAUCUUAAAAAAAUUCUAUGAAUAUAAAAAGCAAGUGAAACGUUUAAUAAAUUCUUAGUAUAUAUUGUUAUCAAUUUAGCUAACAAAAACUAAGUAUGAUUAAUAAAUAAAUACCAAAUAAAAUACUUAAAACUCAGUGAAAAUUUGGUUUUAUAACUGUCAAA